CAUCUAUUUGCUCAGAAACAACAAGUUACACACUUAAUUACCAGUGGGUUUUAGAACGUUUUCAUAAAUUGUGCGAACAUUACACUGAAAUAAAUCGAACCGAAUAUUUUAUUAGAAAUUCCAUAUCCAUUCAACUGUAUCUAUGUUGCAUAAAAUUCAUAUGGAUUCAUAUCCGUGUCAUCUGUCAAACAUUUCUGAUUCAACAGUGGCUUAGUGAAUAUUAUCGUCACUGGCUAACAUUGUUGUUAUAUGCAUUGAACAUAUAACCGGUACAUGUUUCGUACAUAGUUUCGACGGAUUCAAUGGCAUUGCGAUUGGCAUAUGCGUAUUCUUCAUAUCACCAGUAUGAUUUUAUUCAGUCGUCGCAACAGAUGGAGAAUAGCUUACGAACAGGCAAGAUUACUGAAGAAUCAGGAAGUUCUCUCUUUGCCUUUUGAAAAUAAUAAAUGCAUGUUCGACCCAAGCGCUCGUUCAGAAGCUGUAUCCUGAAAAUUGUUAGGAUCAAACCUGAACGAUAAAGAUCUUAUUGGCAAUGUAAAGAGAAUGCUGAACAUUCAUGAACACCCCACAAGACCCCACAAGAAUGGCUAAGUAUUGGGCAACAUACUGGAAUCUAUCAUAUGUGGACAGGAAAGGAAAUUAGCAUUGUAAGUUAUUAAUAGCAGAUACCAUGUAGAUGAAACAGUAAAAACAAUAGAAUAAUGAAAACAAUUUUCGUAAUUUGUUAGUUUGAUAGUAUCACUCACCGUAUCAACUAUUAAUUAUAUUAAUGAAAAGUACGUUAGUUGCACUUAGAAGAUACAAUUUUUACGAAUGGAUCUUCUGUUUGGCUGCAAUAGCAUGUAUUUGGAAUGCAAAUGAUGUUUACAUACUCUCUUGGUCCGUACUUGGUAUAUUUUUUGCAUAUAACAUGGACAUGGAUGUAGAAAAGGUUUCUUAUAUGUCACGCAUAUACCUUCGAACAUACUUUUCCAUACUAUGGUGACUUUCAUAAGAAAUUCUAAUAGUGCAGAAUUAUAUGACUACCAUAUACCCUUUAACAAGAGAGUUGGCUCAGUGUAGACGUUCUGCGAGAAAGCGAAUAACAUGUGAGUGAUCCUAAUAUUUGAAAUUAAGGUAAUUAAACGUUUGAAGUCUGAGUUUGGGUAAGUAUUGGAUAAGAAACUGACAAAAUUUCAAGCCAGUAUGUAUUGUUCCUCAACCUCUUGAACUAGAGCAAACUUAAUCUAUGCAAGCUUCUAAUCCAUUUUCAUUUCAAUUGCUGAUCUAACGCAAAGCUAAAAUGCGUAGAUGGCUCUCUUCUAGA